GCCCUAGUAACGGCGAGUGAAGCGGCAAUAGCUCAAAUUUGAAAGCUGGCCUCUGGUCCGACUUGUAAUUUGUAGAGGAUGCUUUUAGGCAGCCGCCGGUCUAAGUUCCUUGGAACAGGACGUCAUAGAGGGUGAGAAUCCCGUAUGUGACCGGCUCAGGCACCUUCUGUAAAGCUCCUUCGACGAGUCGAGUUGUUUGGGAAUGCAGCUCUAAAUGGGAGGUAAAUUUCUUCUAAAGCUAAAUACCGGCGAGAGACCGAUAGCGCACAAGUAGAGUGAUCGAAAGAUGAAAAGCACUUUGGAAAGAGAGUUAAAAAGCACGUGAAAUUGUUGAAAGGGAAGCGCUUGCAAUCAGACUUGGCCUCGGAUGUUCAACCGGUCUUCUGACCGGCCUAUUCAUUCGGGGCCAGGCCAGCAUCAGUUUCGGCGGCCGGAUAAAGGCCUUGGGAAUGUGGCUUUCCCUUCGGGGGAAGUGUUAUAGCCCAGGGUGUAAUACGGCCAGCUGGGACUGAGGUCCGCGCUUCGGCUAGGAUGCUGGCGUAAUGGUUGUAAGCGGCCCGUCUUGAAACACGGACCAAGGAGUCUAACAUCUAUGCGAGUGUUAGGGUGUCAAACCCUUACGCGUAAUGAAAGUGAACGGAGGUGGGAACCCGCAAGGGUGCACCAUCGACCGAUCCUGAUGUCUUCGGAUGGAUUUGAGUAAGAGCAUAGCUGUUGGGACCCGAAAGAUGGUGAACUAUGCCUGAAUAGGGUGAAGCCAGAGGAAACUCUGGUGGAGGCUCGCAGCGGUUCUGACGUGCAAAUCGAUCGUCAAAUUUGGGUAUAGGGGGCAAAGACUAAUCGAAUCCUGUUGUAGCUGGUUCCUCCGAAG
rnacentral:rRNA from 1 species